rnacentral:lncRNA from 1 species
CACUUGAUAAAGUUAAAAAUUGCAUGUAAAUAUUCACACAAGAGUAGCCCAAAAGAUGGUUAGUGAAAUAGGUCCGGUGUGAAAUAACGAGUACCAAGGCACGCCUAUUCAUAUGAGGAAACCCUUUCAUAGAAAAUUGAUUGACGAAAACAAAAUAAAGAAACAGAUAAACACCUCCCAAACAGUACAAUUUUUCGCAAUUCAAAUAUUAUUCUCCAUAUCUUGCAAUUUUUUAUCUGGUCUGUAGCUGGUCUUGGAAAAGUUUCCUUAAAAGAUAAAAAAAUGAACAUUAUAACUUUCAUGAGAUUUAAAGAAAUAUUUGUUAUUUGGUAUCAUGCAUUCUGCAAAAAUAAAUAAUAUAUACAUCAGUUUAAGUGUUUAUAAGUUUUAACAUACUGAUUUUAAGUGAGAAUUGGGACAUACAUAUUUGUAUCAAAGUAAAUAUUUUUC